rnacentral:rRNA from 1 species
UACGGGGGGGGCAAGCGUUGUUCGGAAUUACUGGGCGUAAAGGGUGUGUAGGUGGCGCCGUAAGUGGGGUGUGAAAUUUCGGAGCUUAACUCCGAAACUGCAUUCCAUACUGCGGUGCUUGAGGACUGGAGAGGAGACUGGAAUUUACGGUGUAGCAGUGAAAUGCGUAGAUAUCGGAAGGAAGACCAGUGGCGAAGGCGGGUCUCUGGACAGUUCCUGACACUGAGACACGAAGGCCAGGGGAGCAAACGGG